UACGUAGGGUGCGAGCGUUAAUCGGAAUUACUGGGCGUAAAGCGUGCGCAGGCGGUUUUGUAAGCCAGAUGUGAAAUCCCCCGGGCUUAACCUGGGAAUGGCAUUUGGGACUGCAAGGCUUGAGUUUGGCAGAGGAGACUGGAAUUCCUGGUGUAGCAGUGAAAUGCGUAGAUAUCAGGAGGAAUACCGAUGGCGAAGGCAGGUCUCUGGGCUGAAACUGACGCUCAUGCACGAAAGCGUGGGGAGCAAACAGG
rnacentral:rRNA from 1 species